AGAGUUUGAUUCUGGCUCAGGAUGAACGCUGGCGGCGUGCUUAACACAUGCAAGUCGAACGGAGUAUAUUAAAAGCUUGCUUUGCAUAUACUUAGUGGCGGACGGGUGAGUAACGCGUGGGCAACCUGCCUUAUACCGGGGGACAACAGCUGGAAACGGCUGCUAAUACCGCAUAAGCGCACGAAGAGGCAUCUCUUAGUGUGAAAAACUCCGGUGGUACUAAGAUCGGACCCGCGUCUGAUUAGCCAGUUGGCGGUGUAACGGACCACCAAAGCGACGAUCAGUAGCCGGCCUGAGAGGGCAAACGGCCACAUUGGGACUGAGACACGGCCCAAACUCCUACGGGAGGCAGCAGUGGGGAAUAUUGCACAAUGGGGGAAACCCUGAUGCCAGCGACGCCGCGUGAGUGAAGAAGUAUUUCGGUAUGUAAAGCUCUAUCAGCAGGAAAGAAAAUGACGGUACCUGACUAAGAAGCCCCGGCUAACUACGUGCCAGCCGCCGC
rnacentral:rRNA from 1 species